rnacentral:rRNA from 1 species
UACGUAGGGUGCAAGCGUUGUCCGGAAUUAUUGGGCGUAAAGAGCUCGUAGGCGGUCUGUUGCGUCGGCUGUGAAAACCCGGGGCUCAACUCCGGGCCUGCAGCCGAUACGGGCAGACUAGAGUUCGGCAGGGGAGACUGGAAUUCCUGGUGUAGCGGUGAAAUGCGCAGAUAUCAGGAGGAACACCGGUGGCGAAGGCGGGUCUCUGGGCAGUAACUGACGCUGAGGAGCGAAAGCGUGGGUAGCAAACAGG